rnacentral:rRNA from 1 species
UACGUAGGCAGCGAGCGUUGUUCGGAGUUACUGGGCGUAAAGGGUGUGUAGGCGGUUGUUUAAGUUUGGUGUGAAAGCCCCGGGCUUAACCUGGGAAUGGCCGUUGAAACUGGCGAACUGGAGUGUGGCAGAGGGGGGUGGAAUUCCGCGUGUAGCAGUGAAAUGCGUAGAGAUGCGGAGGAACACCGAUGGCGAAGGCAGCCCCCUGGGCUAACACUGACGCUCAGGCACGAAAGCGUGGGGAGCAAACAGG